rnacentral:rRNA from 1 species
CGCGAGCAGGUGCGAAAGCAGGUCAUAGUGAUCCGGUGGUUCUGAAUGGAAGGGCCAUCGCUCAACGGAUAAAAGGUACUCCGGGGAUAACAGGCUGAUACCGCCCAAGAGUUCAUAUCGACGGCGGUGUUUGGCACCUCGAUGUCGGCUCAUCACAUCCUGGGGCUGAAGUAGGUCCCAAGGGUAUGGCUGUUCGCCAUUUAAAGUGGUACGCGAGCUGGGUUUAGAACGUCGUGAGACAGUUCGGUCCCUAUCUGCCGUGGGCGCUGGAGAACUGAGGGGGGCUGCUCCUAGUACGAGAGGACCGGAGUGGACGCAUCACUGGUGUUCGGGUUGUCAUGCCAAUGGCACUGCCCGGUAGCUAAAUGCGGAAGAGAUAAGUGCUGAAAGCAUCUAAGCACGAAACUUGCCCCGAGAUGAGUUCUCCCUGAGACUUAGAGUCUCCUGAAGGAACGUUGAAGACGACGACGUUGAUAGGCCGGGUGUGUAAGCGCAGCGAUGCGUUGAGCUAACCGGUACUAAUGAACCGUGAGGCUUAACCUUACA